rnacentral:RNase_P_RNA from 1 species
GAAGCCCGCCAGACUGCCGCUGGUGCAAGCCGCGAGGACGACGUGCAAACGUCGGGUGGAAACACCGCACUGGAGGAACGUCCGGACUGCACAGGGCAGCGUAGCAGCUAACGGCUGUCCACUGAAACCCGUGUAUACGAACACCUGGAAACAGGUGGACAACUAGACGGCAUAAGGUGAGGAUCAGAGCAACAGAGACGAGUCGCUGGCCGGGGCAACCCGACCCAGCGGGUGAAACGGGCAAUCUCUACGCGCAGCAAUACCAAAUAGGCACACGCUGGACAUUGCGGUUUACCGUGGUUUCCUGCCCGGGGCCCCCGGGAUGUGUGCGGGUAGGUAGCACCGAGCCGCUGGGUGACCAGCGGCCCAGAUUAAUGGCAGUCACGUUGCGGGCAACUGCAACGCACAGAAUCCGGCUUAUCGGUGGGCUUCACAC